UGCCAGCAGCCGCGGUAACACGGGGGGCGCAAGCGUUAUUCGGAAUUAUUGGGCGUAAAGGGCGCGCAGGCGGUCUUGUCCGUCAGGUGUGAAAGCUCGGGGCUCAACCCCGGAAGUGCACUUGAAACAGCAAGACUUGAAUACGGUAGAGGAGAGAGGAAUUCCUGGUGUAGAGGUGAAAUUCGUAGAUAUCAGGAGGAACACCGAUGGCGAAGGCGGCUUUCUGGACCAAUACUGACGCUGAGGUGCGAAAGCGUGGGGAGCAAACAGGAUUAGAUA
rnacentral:rRNA from 1 species